rnacentral:rRNA from 1 species
AUUGAACGCUGGCGGCAGGCCUAACACAUGCAAGUCGAGCGAGCGGCGGACGGGUGAGUAAUGUCUGGGCAACUGCCUGAUGGAGGGGGGUAACUCCUGGAAACGGUAGCUAAUACCGCAUACCCUCAGAUAUGCCCAGAUGGGAUUUGCUAGGAGGUGGGGUAAUGGCUCACCUAGUCGACGCUCCCUAGCUGGUCUGAGAGGAUGACCAGCCACACUGGAACUGAGACACGGGCCAGACUCCUACGGGAGGCAGCAGUGGGGAAUAUUGCACAAUGGGCGCAAGCCUGAUGCAGCCAUGCCGCGUGUAUGAAGAAGGCCUUCGGGUUGUAAAGUACUUUCAGCGAGGAGGCGUUACUCGCAGAAGAAGCACCGGCUAACUCCGUGCCAGCAGCCGCGGUAAUUC